CUUUCUGUCCUUUACAGACCACCACUUCUGUUAUUAGCAUUCACAAAGUGGAGCAGCACAUUUCAGCUGGUGGGCGUUGUCUAUGCAACCUCAUAUUGAUUUAGCUAGAAGUCUAGAAUUACAGAAAUCAGACAGAACCAUCUACUGGUCUACUGCAACUAAUGCUUAAACCCUUUUUCAUUUGCAUGCAAUAUACCAUUGUAGUUCACCAGGCAAAGCUUCAUUUCUUUUGUAUGCUCCAAGUGAAUUCUAAAACUGAAGCCCCC
rnacentral:lncRNA from 1 species